UUUCCUGUGGCUCAGUUGGUAGAGCAUUGCGCUAACAACACACAGUUCAUUGGUUCUAAUCCCUGGGAAAA